CACAUCCCCUUACAAAUGAGACUCCUGAAAAGAUGUUUAGCCAUUAUGUAAAAGAUUUUCUGCUUUUAACAAUGACAGGCUUCAAAAAAGAGUGGGCAACUCCAAGCAAAGUAAUUCAUGGCAAGUUAAAUUAUAAAGGACCAUGAUUCAUGAUGUGAGUUUGCCCUCCAGGGCAAAAGAAAGAGAUACAACCAGAACUGAAGAAAUCAAAGACAGCGGUGUCUCUUUUAUCCCAGUUUUAACAGAGCCACAGUGAAGACAUUAUAUAAUCCCCAACUCUGCAUAUCUCAGCAAGAAAAAGAAAAUAGCAAGUGACUGCUUCUGGAUGUGGGAAGGAAAAAGAAGGCAACUGUUGCUGAAAGGCAGAAUUAAGAUUAAGGUCUUCCCCAGAACCGUGACUCUCUGACAAACUCCAAUCGAUGGAACAGGAACAACAUAGCCAGUGGCAGUACAACUUUUCCACAUUGCCCUGCCAAUAUACUUUAACCCAGAGCUGACCUGGAGAAAUCAUC